GAUGCGACCUCAGCUCAGGCGGGGCCACCCGCUGAGUUUAAGCAUAUCAAUAAGCGGAGGAAAAG
rnacentral:rRNA from 1 species